GUGUUUGCUUUGACAACUGAUAUGAUAUAAUUAGAAUGAUUCACAAGAAGAUUAGCAUGGCCGUUGUGCAAGGAUGACAUGCAAAUUCUUGGAACAUUUCAUAUUUUU
rnacentral:snRNA from 1 species